rnacentral:rRNA from 1 species
ACCGACUAAUGUUGAAAAAUUAGCGGAUGACUUGUGGCUGGGGGUGAAAGGCCAAUCAAACCGGGAGAUAGCUGGUUCUCCCCGAAAGCUAUUUAGGUAGCGCCUCGUGAAUUCAUCUCCGGGGGUAGAGCACUGUUUCGGCAAGGGGGUCAUCCCGACUUACCAACCCGAUGCAAACUGCGAAUACCGGAGAAUGUUAUCACGGGAGACACACGGCGGGUGCUAACGUCCGUCGUGAAGAGGGAAACAACCCAGACCGCCAGCUAAGGUCCCAAAGUCAUGGUUAAGUGGGAAACGAUGUGGGAAGGCCCAGACAGCCAGGAUGUUGGCUUAGAAGCAGCCAUCAUUUAAAGAAAGCGUAAUAGCUCACUGGUCGAGUCGGCCUGCGCGGAAGAUGUAACGGGGCUAAACCAUGCACCGAAGCUGCGGCAGCGACGCUUAUGCGUUGUUGGGUAGGGGAGCGUUCUGUAAGCCUGUGAAGGUGUGCUGUGAGGCAUGCUGGAGGUAUCAGAAGUGCGAAUGCUGACAUAAGUAACGAUAAAGCGGGUGAA